UACGGGGGGGGUAAGCGUUGUUCGGAAUUACUGGGCGUAAAGGGCUCGUAGGCGGCCAACUAAGUCAUACGUGAAAUCCCUCAGCUUAACUGGGGAACUGCGUGUGAUACUGGAUGGCUUGGAUUUGGGAGAGGGAUGCGGAAUUCCAGGUGUAGCGGUGAAAUGCGUAGAUAUCUGGAGGAACACCGGUGGCGAAGGCGGCAUCCUGGGCCAACACUGACGCUCAUGCACGAAAGCGUGGGGAGCAAACAGG
rnacentral:rRNA from 1 species